rnacentral:lncRNA from 1 species
CACUUCUCAACUAUAAUCAGUCUGUUCAGAAGAUGGAAUCUGAGACAUGUUAACCAAUCAUACAAAAGAGAUGUAAGAAAAGUGCCAUUAAAAUUCAGUCUGUACAGAAGAUGGAAUAUGAGGUAUGUUUACAACUAUACAAAAAAGAGAUGCAAGUAAAGUCCCACUAAAACUGUUCCCCAAUAAAUGAGUGAAGUUCUACACACUAUAAGGGACAAAAAGCUGAAACCCUCAAAACAUUCCAACCAGUACUAUUCCAAUGAGGCAUAACACGAUGGUUUUCUUGAUAAACUGAAUGUGAAAACCUGCUAAUUCCAAGACCAACAAUAUCAAUGCAGUGCUAUAAAGUGAUGGUUUUCUUGACAUAGAAUUAUUUUCAUGAGUGCUGUUUCCAUGAACUCCGACCACGGGAUCACGGUAUCGAGCUUCAUAACCUGUGUGCAAAGUAUUGCUUGUUGCUGACUGUCUGUACACACAUCGGCAACAGUGAAUCUUGAUUUUAUUAAGUAAACCUGCACUGGACCACAAUUGAUGCACUAAUUUUACAGGACAGAGGGCAAGAGGAUCAUGGGCUGUCUGUUGCAAUGCAGCAGCUUAGCUUAAGUACAGCAACAGACACGUCUCAAGAGCUGCAUUGAUCCUCUUAGACCACCUUUUAACCUUAAAAUCAUAAUUGUUAAAUUUGGGCCAAGACUAACUCACCCCAAAAGCUAGCUCAAGGGAGGAUUGCUUAUGGCUCAUACAAGAGGCACAUUACCCCUUUCCACAACCGAGGUGGGAUUCAACACACCUCCUCACGCCCAUAAUUUUAUUGAUGCGUGACAUAUUUUAUGGGAGGCCCAACAUCGGAUGGGGAGGCUCUGAUAUCAUAUUAAAUUUGAAUCAGGCCUAACUCACCCCAAAAGCUAGCUCAAGGGGAGGAUUGCCUAUGGCUCAUACAAAGGACACAUUACCCCUUUCCACAACCGAUGUGGAAUUCAACAAUAAUAAUGGUUCCAGGAACUUAGUUUAUCCAAGUCACAAAGAGCUAGUUUAUGCAGACUCAAGAAAUGAGAUAGACAUUGUAUUCAUGCAUGGUGCACGCCUAAUAAGUUCUUGCAAAAUGGAUGCUACCAAGCCCAUGCUGUUCUUACGUCAGUGUGUAAAACAUAUAGCAGCCAUAUAGCCUCAUGAGUCAUGAUACAUUUGAUAGCUAUCCUGCUUAUGAAAGAAACAAAUUAUUUCAUGAAAACCUUCUGUUAUAGGUUAUAGUAAGUAAAUAUGUUAAUAUAGGAAGUAAAUAUUGAUAGAUGGGUUAGUUACUUAAUCUUAGGGAUUACAUAAUUAUAGGCUUGAUUUUUCUUCCUGUUUAGAUACUGUCUCUCAUGUAUAAAUAGGUUGUAAUAUCUAUUGUGAUAUACAACAAAUAUUAUCUUUCUACAUGGUAUCAGAGCCUUUCUCGUAGAGAUUUUUUUUCUCUUCUUUCUUGUAAAGUUUUAAAAUUUUUUUUUUAAAAAACUUAGGGCUCCAUUCAUUUGGGUUAUCCAUAAAGGGUAACAUUUGGAUCUCACCAUCGCUGGAGUCGCCACACUGACCCCUUGUCAGAUCUGAAGUUUGUUUGCCGCUCGGGUGUUGGGUGGAGGUGUUUUAUUUGGUAUUGUUCAUCGGCACUGUUCACAGCACUGUUCAUCGGCACUGUUCACGGGCACUGUUUAUCGAUACUGUUCACGGGUACUGCUCAUCGGUACUGUUCACAGGUACUUGUUCUUUUGAUCCUUUGCUAUUUUGAUUGUUUUGGAUUGGUUGUUCUGAUGGCUGAAGUUAAAACCACCGUAACUGAUGUGAUUCCUGUGAUGACUAAAAUUACGGAAUACAAAUUAAAUGGAUCUAAUUUUUUAGACUGGAGUAAGACUAUCCGUAUUUAUUUACGAAGUAUUGCAAUGGAUGAUCAUCUUACCAAGGAUCCUUCAACUGAUGAAACUCGUACAGAUUGGAUGAGGGAUGACGCUCAUUUGUUUCUGCAGAUUCGAAAUUCUAUUCAUAGUGAGGUGAUUAGUCUUAUUAAUCACUGUGAAUUUGUUAAAGAAUUAAUGGAGUAUUUGGAAUUUCUGUAUUCUGGCAAAGGGAAUAUUUUCCGUAUUUAUGAUGUGUGUAAGGCGUUUUACCGAGCCCAGAAAAAUGAUAGAACUUUGGCAUCCUAUUUUAUGGAUUUUAAAAGAGUUUAUGAAGAACUUAAUGUAUUGAUGCCCUUUAGUACAGAUGUGAAAACUCAACAAGCUCAACGAGAGCAAAUGGCCGAGUCAGGUAAUUAUAGGCUUGAGUCUCAUGCAUCGACUUCUUAUGUUACUCUUGCUGAUGGUACUAAAUUUUUUGUCAUGAGUUCUGGUCAUGUCAACUUAACCCCUUCUCUUUCUGUAUCCUCUGUGUUAUGUCUCCCUAAAUUCGCAUUUAAUUUGCUUUCUGUUAGUAAACUCACUCGUGCAUUGAAUUGUUGUAUCUCAUUCUUUCCUGAUCACUGUAUUUUUCAGGAUCUUUCGACGAAGCAGAUUAUUAGUAGAGGGCGUGAGUCAGAGGGUCUCUACUUCUUGGAUCAGCAACUACAUAGAUCACUUGCAUGUUCCACGCAUUUAACACCUUUUGAUGUUCAUUGUCGUUUGGGGCAUCCUUCUCUCUCAGCUUUGAAGAAGUUAUAUCCACAGUUUUAUUCUUUGUCUGUUUUAGAUUGUGAGUCUUGUCAAUUUGCCAAACAUCAUCGUUUGCCUUCAGUAUCUCGAGUCAAUAAACGGGCUUCGUCCCCCUUUGAGUUAGUACAUUCAGAUGUUUGGGGUCCUUGUUCUACUGUGUCUAAGUCUGGCUUUAAGUACUUUAUUACUUUUGUUGAUGACUUCUCUCGUACUACUUGGUUAUUUUUAAUGAAGAGUCGCUCAGAAUUAUUUUCUAUCUUUUGUGCGUUUUAUGCUGAAAUCCAAACCCAAUUCAAUGUUCCCAUUCGUAUAUUGCAAAGUGAUAAUGCUAAAGAGUAUCUUUCUGGGGAAUUUCAAUCUUAUUUGUUACAAAAAGGGAUUCUUCAUCAGUCCUCUUGUGUUGACACUCCUUCACAAAAUGGAGUUGUCGAAAGAAAAAAUCGACAUCUUCUUGAAGUAGCCAGAGCCCUCUUAUUCCAAAUGAAAGUACCUAAAUGUUUUUGGGCUGAUGCUGUAUCCACUGCUUGUUUUUUUAUUAAUCGCAUGCCUUUCUCCAUCCUUCAUGGUGAUAUCCCUUAUAAUAUUUUGUUUCCCACUAAAUCUUUGUUUCCUAUUGAGCCACGUAUCUUUGGGUGUACUUGUUUUGUUCGUGAUGUUCGUCCACAGGUUACUAAAUUGGAUCCCAAAUCACUCAAAUGUGUCUUCCUUGGCUACUCUCGACGUCAAAAAGGGUAUCGUUGUUUUUCUCCUGAUCUGAAUCGGUAUCUUGUGUCUACAGAUGUAACAUUCUUUGAGUCCACUCCGUUUUUUCCACCAUCCUCUGUUUAUAACACCCAAAGUGAGGAAGAUGACCUUUUGUUAUACAUUGUUCGCUCUCUGUCUCCUCAGACUACUCCUACACCUUUCGCUCAUGUGCCUGGUCGCCCUCCCAUCUUUCAUGUGUAUUCCAGACGCUUAGAGGACUCUGACUCCGCUCCGCUACCUGCUUCUUCAUCGACAGAUCCUGUUCCCACUGAUCCUUCACUGUCUGAUCUGGAUUUGCCCAUUGCUCUUCGCAAAGGUAAACGUACUUGCACUUAUCCUAUUUCAGCUUGUGUCUCUUAUGAUCAAUUAUCCUCUUCUUCUCGUUGUUUUGCCACUGCUUUAGAUUCUAUUUCAGUUCCCAAAACUGUUAUUGAGGCUUUGUCCAUCCUGGUUGGCGUGUUGCAAUGGAAGAGGAAAUGAUGGCCCUUGACACUAAUGGUACUUGGGAGUUGAUGUCCUUACCCCCAGGAAAGCGGGCAAUUGGGUGCAAAUGGGUGUUUGCAGUAAAAGUAAAUCCUGAUGGAUCUGUUGCUCGCCUCAAGGCUCGUUUAGUGGCCAAAGGUUAUGCACAAACUUAUGGAGUUGACUAUUCUGAUACAUUUUCCCCAAUUGCCAAGCUUGCAUUUGUUCGAUUGUUUAUUUCCUUGGCAGCUACACAUGAUUGGCCUUUGCAUCAACUGGAUAUUAAAAAUGCUUUUCUUCAUGGUGAUUUUCAGGAGGAGGUUUAUAUUGAGCAACCACCUGGUUUUGUUGCUCAGGGGGAGUCAGGCAAGGUUUGUACACUUCGAAAAUCCCUUUAUGGCUUGAAACAGAGUCCUCGGGCAUGGUUUGGCAGGUUUAGCGAGGUGGUCUAACAGUUUGGAAUGAAAAUGAGCAAGUGUGAUCACUCGGUGUUUUAUAGAAAUUCUGAUAAUGGAGUAAUUCUGCUUGUAAUAUAUGUGGAUGAUAUCGUUAUCACAGGAAGUGAUAUUGCUAGCAUCACAUCCCUAAAAGAAUUUCUUAAAACACAGUUUCAUACAAAGGAUUUGGGUUCAUUGAAAUAUUUCUUGGGAAUCGAAGUAAUGCGGUGUAAGAAAGGCAUCUUCUUGUCUAAAAAAAAAAUAUGUUCUUGAUUUGUUAGCAGAAACAGGAAAAUUGGGUGCUAAGCCUUGUAGUGCUCCAAUGACCCCUAACCUUCAACUUACCACAGAAGACAGUGAGCCAUUUGCAGAUCUUGAAAGGUAUAGAAGAUUAGUUGGCAAGUUGAAUUAUUUGACGGUGACUCGUCCUAAUAUUGCAUAUUCAGUGAGUGUGGUAAGUCAGUUUAUGUCACCUCCUACUGUUGCCCAGUGGCAUGCUUUGGGACAGAUUCUUUGUUAUCUUAAAGGGGCCCCAGGGCGAGGGCUAUUCUAUGGCAACCAUGGGCACUCAAAUAUUGAAUGCUUUUCUGAUGCUGAUUGGGCAGGCUCGAAGGUUGAUAGGAGGUCAAUUACUGGGUAUUGUGUUUUUGUGGGAGGUAACUUGGUCUCAUGGAAAAGUAAAAAGCAAAAUGUGGUCUCCCGUUCUAGUGCUAAAUCUGAAUAUCGAGCCAUGGCACAAGCCGUUUGUGAAGUCUUGUGGGUACGUCAACUAUUAGAAGAAGUUGGGUUCACAAAUUCGGUGCCUGCUAAGUUGUGGUGUGAUAAUCAAUCAGCUAUCCACAUUGCCUCCAAUCCAGUAUUUCACGAGAGGACUAAACACAUCGAGAUUGAUUGUCAUUUUGUUCGUGAAAAGGUCCAACAAAAGAUAAUAUCAACAGGACAUAUCCGAACUGGAGAACAAUUAGAAGAUAUCUUUACUAAAGCUCUAAAUGGAACUCGAGUUGAUUAUAUAUGUAACAAGUUAGGCAUGUUAACAUUUAUACUCCAACUUGAGGGGGAGUGUUAUAGGUUAUAGUAAGUAAAUAUGUUAAUAUAGGAAGUAAAUAUUGAUAGAUGGGUUAGUUACUUAAUCUUAGGGAUUGCAUAAUUAUAGGCUUG